UAGAAGUUACCUUUGCUGGAUUUCUAGUUAAUCUUCCCUGCUUACCUAUUUUACUCAAAAUAUGUGGAGCUUCUCUGGUUGUUAUUUUGAGUAAAGUGUUGUGAAAACUUCCCAAUGAACUCUUGGCUCAUGAUUCUCCGUGACUUCCAAAGAGAGAGGGAGAUGUUGGUUUAAAGAAUUUUCAUUUGAUUAUUGGUUAUUCGUUCCCCUUUGAAAUUUAAUUUUGACAUGUUUGAUUCGUAAAUGAGAUUUCCAGGUUCCAUCUAGCAUUAGUUCAUAGUAUUUGUUGUCUACUGGGCUACCUGUGUAUAGGGAUUUUAUAUAUACUGAUGGGAAUAGAAAGCAUUCCAGUCUCACGGGCCCUCUUCCCAGUUUCCCUUUAUGUUUUCUUCCCCUUAAAUAGGACCAUGAGUAUAAGUUCGAUAGAACCUUUAAGUCUUUUGUCUUGCAAAAAAGGCUCGGGAUAUCUGUCCCAUUAUGUUAUAACUUUGUCUAUUCGCUUAUCGCUGAGACUUGGGUACCUCAAAUGGUCACGUAGAAGCAUGUUGCGGGAUGGAACUUGGAAUUUAUACUUCUAAGGUUGAUGUUGAAUAAGAUAAUAUUUAGUUAGUAGCUUUUGAAUGUAUAAAUCUGUUUACUUCUUUUUCUACCCGUAUUCUGAACAUGCUUUGAUUGGUUUUGCAUUUUGAUGUCAAACUUCUGCUUUUCACUUCAUAGGCAUGCAUCCGGAUCGAUAUUAUUCUCUCUUUCACUUGACAAUAUUUUUUCUGAGUUAACAUGUCCAUUCUUUUUAUCAUCUGCCUUCUUUUAAAUAAGAUAUGUGGUUUCCUAGCAUUUUUUUUGUUCGAAUAUUUGUGUUAAGACAUUUAUUGUUCUAUUUUUUCCUUUUGUAUUUCGGAUAUGUUUUGAUUUCUUUUUUUUUUUUUUUUUGCAUGUAAACCACCUUGGAGUCCAAAUGGACUCUUCUUCCUUGCAUUUCAUGGUGAGCUAACAUGGCCCCCAUCCUUUGAGUCAAUCCCAAAAAAGAAUCCAAACGCCUAUCACGUGGCGUACGAAUACUAAGAAUCGAGAGAAGAAUGAUUGGAGUAAAGUCCUAUCAUUUGAAGCAGCUACGAGACCCCAAAGUUUCAUUUAUUAUUUUUGUUUAUUUAAUUAUUGUCAUCUUUAUUUAUUUAUUUAUUUAUUUAUUUAUUUACUUAUUUCCUUAUUUAUUCAUUUGGGCCUCGAAGCCGAAGUUGUACUUAAUACCGGUGAAGCGAGACUCGAUCUAAAGGCUCAAAAACAUAGAAUUAGGACAGGUGGAAGACGGGCUGAAAGCCCAAUAUCUAGAUUAGGACAAGGUUGUCGAUUAGGGCCGAUUGACUCAAGUCCUUCUGCUUCUACCCUUUCCCUUUUACUUAUGCUAAUUUGUUUUAUGUGUUUUGUUGUGAACCUAGUUAAAAUCCCUAGCUAAGUCGCUAAAAACUGUUUUUUCACAAACCUUAAAAAUAUUUCCUAAACAAACUACUUUUUCCAACAAAUCAAUAUUUUUUCAAAGUUAGUCAAAAGUGUUUUCAAACAGAUCGGAUAACCACAAGUUAGCGGAACGUUUUAGGUGCCUAACACCUUCCUAAAACGUUAAUAGGAACCAGUUACUCGGAAUCUCUAAAUCAAAAUGAUUUUCUUGUUUUGAAUCGUUUCGAAGUAACUCUCUAAAGUUUUCUUAAUUCCUUUUCAAAAUUAAGUGGCGACUCUUCUCAAAAAGUCAAAAUUUUUCCGCAAAAUAGACGGAAAGCUUAUUCAAUUCUUUACAAUUUGAAGGUAUAAAUCUGCCAAAAUACCACCUAUAAACCAAGUUAUGCUCGUUCAAAGAUGACCUAUAUGAAAUCACACACGAAAACUUGGUGGAUUCAAAAUUUCUUAGCUUGGCUUACCCUAAGUGACUCUUAUGAACAUGCUUAACACAUCAUAAACUCUAUUAUCACUAGGAUACUCAUCCUAAUUCAUGUACUCCAAUAUGAAUCACAGGAUAGAAGGUUUCAUAUGUAGGAAUAACGGUUCAUUUUCUAGCUUAGAAAUAUACAGGGUAUUACAAUAUUAAAGGACCUGACAAUGUUUUUGUAGAUUUUCUUUCAAGAAACUUCCAAUAUGGACAAUAGAACCUAAGUGUUGGUUAACAGGAUAUUCCAAAGAACGAAUGGCCUUGAAGAAGCCAUAAAUGAUAAAAGCAAUAUGCUAUUUAACAUUCGUGAUGAACUAUCAGCUUUGUCUGAAAUGAUGAGAAAAUGACAAUAUGGACUAAAUUAGCUUAACACUGAUCAAGCUGAAAAUAUCACAGAAUGUCAACUUCUCUGUGAACAUCUGGAUACUAGACCUAAGGGAUCAAAAGUCCCUAACAAAGUGGCAGGAGAUGUCCCACUAGCACCUAGUGCCAAAAAUAUCUCGAUGGUAAGCCUGGAUAUGUUAAUGGCCGAGUCUUCGGACCUAGCUAAAAGACAAGCACAAGAAAAAUUCACUAUAUAAACAACAUCAGUGAAAACUGAAAAACUUCUAAUAAUUCAAAAAAAAGGACUAACUCUUCUGCAGGAAAAAGAUUUGCUUCUUUUCAAGUCUGAAAAAUCCAUCCAAAAGAGGAAGAAUACUUGGCAUUCACCAGACAAAUUUACAAUCUACCAAGUGAGAGUGGAGAAACUUUUGGAAUUCUAGGAACAAAAAGUUUGUAUCCAAGAAUUUCAGUAUUUCCAGGCGGAAAUCCUAGCUUCACAGCUAAAUUAUUUGAAUUCGGAUAUCUGGACUGAGUCUAUACCAAUUCAGAUUUAUCUAAAUUAAUAAAAUUACCAAAUCAAUUAACAAGUUCAAUAAGAAACUUUGCUGAGGGACAUGGAGUCUAUUGCAGAUUUUACAGCAUAUCCAUGGAAUUUCAAAAUGAAAAAUUAUUUUUUCCAAUGAUUAAUUACAUCUCGGUGAAAAUAUUAAAGACUUUCAGUAUCAGCGCAAUAGACGUAGGUAAAAAAUUCCUGUAUUUGAACUCAAAAUGGAUUCAAACAAGGAGAGCUUUAGCGAUGAAGGCCCUGUACAACAUCCUUAAAAACAUUAUGAAGAUAAUUAUAAAUCCAUGACAGGGAUACACAUUGGGUUUUUAUGACCAGAGAAAAAUCAAAGUCAGAAGUUCUAAAGGAGAAAAUUACUAAAUUUGAAACACAUUAAUUCUAGGCUACCCCAGAAACAUGGGUAAUGGCGUGCAAAUUACUGGAGCACAAGCACAACAAAGAAGAAGAUGAAGAUAGCACAUCAAUGUAAAAAAAAAUAUAAAUUACAACUAUAAAAAGAAUCGAAAGGCAAUAUUAGAGCAAAAGACGUAAGAACUUACGUCAAAAUAUUCGUCGGCAUAAAGCGAUAAAAUAAAAAAAGAAUAUUGGACCACUUAGUCUAAAAGAUGCCACAAAAGGAAAAAGAAAGAUCAUCCAGAUAAGGGUCCAAAAAGAAAUAGAAGAUUUUUGAAGAAUCCAAAAAAAAUAGAUAAUUAUAAUUCUACCCCUCCUUACAUCUAUAAAAGGAGUGAUUGAAACACAAGAAGAGGCGGAACAACUUUUCUGAAAUCUUCCAUUUUGGAAAAAUAUUAGGUGUCCUGCAAAUAAGUGAGUAAAACGUUUCUCCCAUCACGAAAAUGUAUCUAAAUAGUUUGUAUGUAAGUAUAAGGAAGAUCUGAUUAAAGAUUUUUUCUUAUGUAGUAUUUUUAUAAUAUAAAGAUUUUUGUUUAUAUAUCUUCUGUCCAAUUCAUAUGUUAGCCACAAGUGAAGGGCGUGAUCUUCCGUAUCGGAGGAAAGACAAUAGGAUAGCCUCAGACCGAAUGUGGUACUAUUACAGCUAGCAAAAGAAAAAGUUGAAAGGUAUAAAUAUUAAACUCCAAGUUUUCAUGAAACUAUUAGCAUAAGGAGAAAUCUAUCUUCAUGUCUUUUAAUACUUAUUCAUACAUACUAUAUGAUACUAGGUAGCUGUAAAGAAUAAAGAUUAUCAUGAAAUGUUCAAUAUUUCAAUGAGUUAUUACACUAUUUUUCUUGAUGAUGAAACAUUAACCACCAUUUUAAUGGUAAUUAAAUUAAAAGAGAUUUGCAAGAGAAAAUUCUUGAAAAAAUCAUAGAUAACCUUGUUCAAGAAGAACGGUCUAUAAAUGAUUAGUCAUAUAUAUAUAGUGAUAAUGAAUCAUACUAUUUGUAUAAUGAAAACUAUUUCACUGACUAAAUCAAAUAAAAUUUCGCAUACCCUGUUUGUGAACAACACCCCUCCAAGUUGGUAUCAGAACCAAUAAGAUUAAAAUACUCUAUGAGAAGUCCUCGUAAAAAUACUAAAACUUAUAGAGAAAUCAAGAGAGAAUUAAAAAGUCUUUAUUUUGAAUAUAAAAGACUUAACAAUACAAAAGAAGAUCUAAUGAGAUUGGAUUAGCUAAUCACCAUAAUCUCUAGACUAGAGUAUAAUCUAAUUAGACAUCUGGAGUCCAGAAAUAAAACCAAAUGAAUAAAGAACAAAACAACGAACAAAUUUUAAAAUUGAUUUUGGAUUAAAAAAACUAGAAGUUAUUAUUCAAAAAAAUCGCUAUGAAUAUAAUUUAUUCACAUGAGUUUGCAAAAAAUCACUAUUCUCUCAAAGAAAAGUUAUACUUCAGUUGGAACUUGAAAUUUUCCACUAUGAUCAUAAGCUCUGACAUAAUCUAUAUUAACUUGCUAUGGGUUAUAACAAAAUUUUACAAAAACUUGAUGACCUUAUUGACAUACAAAAGCAUCUAGUCGUAAAAAUCAACCUAAUAGAAAAGAAAAUCUAGUUUAUCAAAGAAAGUUCACCUAUAAGGGUAAAAACCUCAUCGAAAGGCCUGCCGCCUUUGAUAAAGAAUUAGGAAAGAAGUUUAGGAGAGAAAUUUUUGCUCCCUCCUUCUCUAAUAAAGGUAUAUAUCAAAAGGGUAGCCUUGAUGAAAAGAUUAUAUCUAGAUUUCUCGAAAAGAAACGAAAGGCGGAAAUAGAGGAUAAAUCUACUCUUAAAAGAGAAGAAAAUUCUAGUUCCAAACUAAAAGAAGGUUCUAGUUCAAAAACAAAAAUAGAAGAAUCAAAUGAAUGACAUAGAUGAAUUAAUUUAUGAAUUAGAAUAACUUGAUCUAAAAGACCAAGAUUACCAUGUUCUCAUGAACAGAGGAGAUACAGGAGGACUACAAGGAAACUUUAGGAGUCCUAAAGAAAAAGGAAGCUCUCUUCUACAGAGCCUAUGCAAAAAGAUAAUUUCUUUCCUAAAUCCAAAAAAGAAAAAGACUAUAAUAGUCAAUAUCAUAACAAUAAUAAGGCCAAAUACAUGCCUAAAAGACUUUUAAAAGGAGCCACUGGAUCUACUCAGUUUUUAGAUCUAUAUUGUAAAAGAGAACCAGGAGAAUUUCUGGAUUUAUGGGUUAAAAACCUAGAAUUAUUCUUCAUCACGAGAAAAGGAGUAAACUAUACAAAUGACGAAAAUUAUUUAAUUGCUGCUAACACCUUUACUGGAAAGGUAAACAAUUGGUUUAAAGGAGUAUCAGAAGAUGCUGAAAAAGUUUUUAAAAUUGAAGUCAUAGAGCAGUUUGAAAAAUCAACUAGAGCAGGAAUAGACCAUAGUAAACUAUGUUGGAUGUGAAUUCUUAGGUAUCUAAGGGGAUGUCUCUAGAGAAAAAGAAACCAAAGGCUAUUAGCAGCAGAAUGCCGAAAGAAACUUCAAAUUUGUAAAAUGAGCUAUAUCCAUGAAUAUACCUGCAAAUUUGAAAAAUACUACUACAAUCUAUUUGAAAGUAGCCUAAUCAUGAAGACAUAUAUGGAUAAAUACUUCUAAAAUCUACCAGGAUUUUGGGCUAGUUAAUUCAGGGAAGAAUAUGCUUAAAGAAGAUCAAACAGGUGAUUUAUUAGGGAAAAGAAUUUCAUUUCUUAAUCAAAGAAUUAGCUAUCUUUGUAUGUUACAUAAUAUACAAAGAAAAUCCAAAAGAAUCAACACCCAAAUUUAUUGUGAAGAUACAGAAGCAACAUCAUAAUGGGGAUGUCAUAAAAGAAAUCCUUUAAAAAGAAAAAGAAAAGACAAAGGAUUAAUCAAAAGAAAAAAUGUCUCCAAAAUAAAUUAUGUACCAAAAAAGGGUAUUUCAAAAAACGAAGAAACUUGAAAAAGAAAUCCACAGACAAAUGUAAGUGCUAUAAUUAUGGAGAGGAAGGUCACAAAAUUUAUGAGUGUAACAAAAAGAAAGUUUAAAUCUCUAAAAUAGAUAGACAGGAAAUUGAUUCUGACUUAGAGUCAAUAACAUCUAUCAAAAGUGAAGACAUUUACAUAGAACUCUAUGAAGAAUUCUCAGAUUUGAGUACUGAUUUAGAAGAAUGAAUCAAUAAAUUGAGAAUCUAGAGAAAACCACUCAAGUUAUAGAAGUUGAAGAAGAUCGGCGAGGAUAUGCUUUGAAAACAACAUACGAUGGAGAAUUAUUAAUAAAAAUUCAAGGAUUAAAAUUUAACCUUAGAACUGAAGAUAGUCUAUUCAGUAGGUUACAAAGAACCUUUUCAAGAGAUCAAAUCUCAUACCACGAAUAUCAAGAAAUUGAAAAGGCAAUAGAGAUAACUUUAACCACUGAAAGAUACAAGAUUAACUUAUUAACAAAGCAAAUGAUCUACCAAAUUCUAAGAAAAAUUUUGGAAAGACAAAGAAAGAAGAUGAAUUACAUUCAUCUUAGAGGAAUCGAAAAAAUGGUAAAAUCCACCUUAAAAGAAGGAAUUAAAUAUCCUAAAGUUAUCAACCUUUCAGACGAAAGAUUUAUUAACACAAGGAAGGAAACCUAGGUAUUGUUGAAGAAAAUUUAGCUUACACCAAAUUAUUAUUUACCUACUAUCCAAGGUAUUGCAUAUCACUGAAAGAUGCCAACUUUAAUGAAGCCUUAAGUUUGCAUUUUCAGGUAAAAAGAGAUGAUUUAUUUAAACCAGGUAACCAUAUUAUGAGUAUUUAUUAUCAAACUCAGUUUUUAGAUCUAUAUUGUAAAAGAGAACUAGGAGAAUUUCUGGAUUUAUGGGUUAAAAACCUAGAAUUAUUCUUCAUCACGAGAAAAGGAGUAAACUAUACAAAUGACGAAAAUUAUUUAAUUGCUGCUAACACCUUUACUGGAAAGGUAAACAAUUGGUUUAAAGGAGUAUCAGAAGAUGCUGAAAAAGUUUUUAAAAUUGAAGUCAUAGAGCAGUUUGAAAAAUCAACUAGAGCAGGAAUAGACCAUAGUAAACUAUGUUGGAUGUGAAUUCUUAGGUAUCUAAGGGGAUGUCUCUAGAGAAAAAGAAACCAAAGGCUAUUAGCAGCAGAAUGCCGAAAGAAACUUCAAAUUUGUAAAAUGAGCUAUAUCCAUGAAUAUACCUGCAAAUUUGAAAAAUACUACUACAAUCUAUUUGAAAGUAGCCUAAUCAUGAAGACAUAUAUGGAUAAAUACUUCUAAAAUCUACCAGGAUUUUGGGCUAGUUAAUUCAGGGAAGAAUAUGCUUAAAGAAGAUCAAACAGGUGAUUUAUUAGGGAAAAGAAUUUCAUUUCUUAAUCAAAGAAUUAGCUAUCUUUGUAUGUUACAUAAUAUACAAAGAAAAUCCAAAAGAAUCAACACUCAAAUUUAUUGUGAAGAUACAGAAGCAACAUCAUAAUGGGGAUGUCAUAAAAGAAAUCCUUUAAAAAGAAAAAGAAAAGACAAAGGAUUAAUCAAAAGAAAAAAUGUCUCCAAAAUAAAUUAUGUACCAAAAAAGGGUAUUUCAAAAAACGAAGAAACUUGAAAAAGAAAUCCACAGACAAAUGUAAGUGCUAUAAUUAUGGAGAGGAAGGUCACAAAAUUUAUGAGUGUAACAAAAAGAAAGUUUAAAUCUCUAAAAUAGAUAGACAGGAAAUUGAUUCUGACUUAGAGUCAAUAACAUCUAUCAAAAGUGAAGACAUUUACAUAGAACUCUAUGAAGAAUUCUCAGAUUUGAGUACUGAUUUAGAAGAAUGAAUCAAUAAAUUGAGAAUCUAGAGAAAACCACUCAAGUUAUAGAAGUUGAAGAAGAUCGGCGAGGAUAUGCUUUGAAAACAACAUACGAUGGAGAAUUAUUAAUAAAAAUUCAAGGAUUAAAAUUUAACCUUAGAACUGAAGAUAGUCUAUUCAGUAGGUUACAAAGAACCUUUUCAAGAGAUCAAAUCUCAUACCACGAAUAUCAAGAAAUUGAAAAGGCAAUAGAGAUAACUUUAACCACUGAAAGAUACAAGAUUAACUUAUUAACAAAGCAAAUGAUCUACCAAAUUCUAAGAAAAAUUUUGGAAAGACAAAGAAAGAAGAUGAAUUACAUUCAUCUUAGAGGAAUCGAAAAAAUGGUAAAAUCCACCUUAAAAGAAGGAAUUAAAUAUCCUAAAGUUAUCAACCUUUCAGACGAAAGAUUUAUUAACACAAGGAAGGAAACCUAGGUAUUGUUGAAGAAAAUUUAGCUUACACCAAAUUAUUAUUUACCUACUAUCCAAGGUAUUGCAUAUCACUGAAAGAUGCCAACUUUAAUGAAGCCUUAAGUUUGCAUUUUCAGGUAAAAAGAGAUGAUUUAUUUAAACGGUUACAAAGAACCUUUUCAAGAGAUCAAAUCUCAUACCACGAAUAUCAAGAAAUUGAAAAGGCAAUAGAGAUAACUUUAACCACUGAAAGAUACAAGAUUAACUUAUUAACAAAGCAAAUGAUCUACCAAAUUCUAAGAAAAAUUUUGGAAAGACAAAGAAAGAAGAUGAAUUACGUUCAUCUUAGAGGAAUCGAAAAAAUGGUAAAAUCCACCUUAAAAGAAGGAAUUAAAUAUCCUAAAGUUAUCAACCUUUCAGACGAAAGAUUUAUUAACACAAGGAAGGAAACCUAGGUAUUGUUGAAGAAAAUUUAGCUUACACCAAAUUAUUAUUUACCUACUAUCCAAGGUAUUGCAUAUCACUGAAAGAUGCCAACUUUAAUGAAGCCUUAAGUUUGCAUUUUCAGGUAAAAAGAGAUGAUUUAUUUAAACCAGGUAACCAUAUUAUGAGUAUUUAUUAUCAAACUCUAUAUGCAGUUACCAAUUCAAAUUAUGGAAAUGUCUAAAAAAAAUAAAGGCUUGGUUGAAACUAAUCAAGAAUGUGCAGGGAUAGCUAGAUAGUUGAAGCAGAAGUUCAACAGGCAGAAAUCCCGAGUGAAUAUGAAAUUCAAGUUGGAAGAGCCCUAGAAAUAGAAAACUCAAGUAUCUCAAACUUGAGACUCUCUAUAGAGUAUGAAAGAAAUGCCAUAAGAAAAGGUAAUUCUAAAAUAAUUACCAAUGAAAACUCUAAUAACAUUCCUAAAGUUUCAGGAAGAUUUUUUACUGGAAGCAACUGGAAUAAACAAACCAUUCUAAUUCAAUCAGGAUCUUUAGCAAACCAUGUUAAGAAAAGUAUCCUAGAUGGUUUAACCACGUAUGAAGGUACCCCAUACAUUUAUAAAACAUUUGAAGGAAACAACUACAACUGCUCAAAAAUGAUAAAACUAUCAAUCCAGUUUGAAUCAACUAGAAUAACUGUUCCCUGUUAUAUUACCAAUCAUGAAAAUGAUUAUAAUAUAAUAUUGGGAGGAACAUUUCUCAAUAUUUUGGAUCAAUAUAAUAUCUAAAAGGAAGGAAUUAACAUAACCUUUGGCAAAAAAACUUAUUUUAUCCCUAAAAGCUAAAUGCCAAAAGAAACCUCUUUUAGAGUAGCAGUAUUUGUAGAAUUUACUACUUACGAAAAAAAUUGACAUCAUGUUGUCAGAUAGACAAUGAUUCUGAAGCUAGUUUAGCUAAAUUUUUUUUGAUAAAAGACUGGAAAACUACUACUAUUAAUGCUUCCGUUGUCAGUGUUACAGGUGACAGGGAAAAGCUCACACAUUAUAAAUAAAAUGUGGAUGUUACCAAUAGAGCCACCGACAUCGAAUGGGCAUAGGUUUAUUUUGGUUGCCAUCAAUUACUUUACUAAGCCAUCACUAAGAAAGUGAUUGCAGAUUUUAUAAAGAAUAACCUGAUUUGCUGAUUCAGCGUGCCAGAAUCAAUCAUUACAGAUAAUGAGGCCCACUUGAACUGUCACUUGAUGAAUGAAAUUUGUGAUCAAUUCAAAAUUACGCAUCGCAACUCGACUGCGUAUCGUCCCCAAAUGAACGGAGCAGUGGAAGAUGCCAAUAAGAACAUCAAGAAGAUCUUGAGAAAGAUGGUUGAAAAUGAUAGAUCAUGGCAUGAGAUAUUAACUUACGUCUUGUUAGGGUAUCGCACGACGGUUCGAACCUCCACUGAGGUAACUCCAUAUUAAUUGAUUUAUGGAAAUGAAGUGGUGAUACCUGCUAAAGUUAAAAUACCUUCCCUAAGGAUUAUCCAAGAAGCUGGACUAAGUAACGAAGAAUGGGUUCGUACUUGCUAUGAACAACUCAUGUUGAUUGAUGAAAAGAGAAUGGUCGUUGUAUGCCAUGGUCAGCUAUAUCAACACAGGAUGGUUCAUGCCUUUAACAAGAAGGUGAGAGCUUAAAUAUUUGAAGUGGGGAAAUUGGUUCUCAAACGAAUAUUCCCUCACCAAAAGGAGUACAAGGGAAAGUUCGCUCCAAACUGGAAAGGGCCACACAUAGUUCGCAAGAUACUAUCUGGAGGAGCUCUGAUUUUGUCUGAGAUGGAUAGCACAGAGUGGACCAAACCAAUCAAUUCUGAUGCGGUAAAGAGAUAUUAUAUUUAAAGGGCGUUCUAGUUUCGUGUUUAUUUAGUUAAUUUACUUGUAAUCACAUUUGUAGUAAUGUUGUUUUCUAGUAUGUAACUGCCUAGAAUCCUUUCCCUUUAUGUAUGAACUACGUUUGACCUGAAUUCCCAAGAGAGGGAUACGUAGGCGGCCUAUGUCGGCUUCGGUCAACCCCUUAGGAUAAUUUAUCCUUUCCCUUUAUGUAUGAACUACGUUUGACCAGAAUUCCCAAGAAAAAGAUAUGUAGGCAGCCUAUGUCAGCUUCGGUCAACCCCUUAGGAUAAUUUAUCCUUUCCCUUUAUGUAUGAACUACAUGAUGACCUGAAUUCCUAAUAAAGGUAUACGUAGGUGGCCUAUGAUGGCUUCGGUCAACCCAUUAAUAUCAUUUGUAUAUCCCUAGCAUAGUUCUAAACUACGUUUGACCUAAUUCUUGCUUCAACGGGAUACGUAGGCACCCCAACUUCUUGGUCAUAUAACCCCAGGAAAUAGAAACUGGGAUAGAAUUUUUGAGAAGGAAUAAAUUCACAAGAUAAGAUCAACGUCCGACAAAGAGAAUGAAGAUCAGCAAAGACUUCAAAUCCACUCGAGUUGGUAUCAUCUCAAACAACUCUAAACUAUGGCAGAAAUUUUGAGGGAAGACCUCAAAAUUUACACCAGAUGCUGGAACAUAUUUCAAAUUCCCCAACACCAGAGGUUAAGGCCAAGAUUUUAAAGUAGUCAGCUGCGACAAAGUCUAGGAAAGGUCAAUCUCUUGCUAUGAUAGAACUAUUUGAAGAAAACCUACAACGAUGAUCAUGAGCUUUGGAAAUCAUCCGUCGGAUAUAGUCAAAACCACGAGAAAGAAGUUCGUUGAGCUAGUACAUGACAUGACUGACAGAGAUUUUCUAGAGUUUUACAGAAGUUUUCAAAAUUAUUUUUAAAAAAUUAAGACUAUUUUUAAAAGAAUCUUACAACUCAUUAAUUUAGUACUUGCCUAGACAUCACUUGGGGUGGAGUGUCAGGAUAGAAUGUCCAGAUAUGGUGGAAUGCCCAAGAGAGGAAAAGAAGCAAAUCAAGGAUCGAAGAAGGUCAACACGGAGUGAUUUCAUUCAAACUAAUCAUUUUUCUGUGAAUGCAGGGAUGAAUACACAAAAGUGAGGGUUUCUUUCAAUAAUUCCUGAGCAAAUUGGGAGCCACAACAGAGUAUUAAUGCCUAAGAACGGUACAUGUAGAAAGCAAGAUGCUGACAAAUGAAGUCAGGUAAAAUCAUUUUAAAAUUUCCCAAGAGGGGUAUUGCAUAUCAUUGCCGAAAGGGCCAUUACAUAUCAUUGUCGAAAGGGCCAUUGCAUAUUAUUGCCGCAAGAGCCAUUACAUAUCAUUGUCGAAAGGGCCAUUGCAUAUUAUUGCCGCAAGAGCCAUUACAUAUCAUUGUCGAAAGGGCCAUUGCAUAUCAUUGCCGCAAGGGCCAUUAUAUAUUAUUGCUGCAAGGGCCAUUACAUAUUAUUGCUACAAGGGUCAUUACAUAUCAUUGCCGUAAAGGUCAUUGUGUAUCAUUCCCGUAAGGGCCAUUGCCUAUCAUUGCCGCAAGGGCCAUUACAUAUCAUUGCCGCAAGGGCCAUUAUAUAUCAUUGGCGUAAGGGCCAUUAGAUAUCAUUGCCACAAGGGCUACUGCAUAUCAUUGCCACAAGGGCCAUUACAUAUCAUUGCCGAAAGGGCCAUUGCAUAUCAUUACCGCAAGGGCCAUUGCAUAUCAUUGCCGUAAGGGUCAUUACAUAUCAUUGUCGCAAGGGCCAUUGCAUAUCAUUGCCGCAAGGGACAUUGAAUAUCAUUGCCACAAGGGACAUUGCAUAUCAUUUCCGCAAGGGCCAUUACAUAUCAUUGCCACAAGGGCCAUUACAUAUCAUUGCCGCAAGGGCCAUUACAUAUCAUUGCCGAAAGGGUCAUUGCAUAUCAUUACCGCAACGGCCAUUGCAUAUCAUUGCCAUAAGGUCCAUCACAUAUCAUUUCCGUAAGGGCCAUUGCAUAUCAUUGCCAAGAGGACCAUCUCAUACCAUCGCCCAAGAAGGCUAUUCAUAUAUCUGUUGACACACGAGAUACAACACUGACACGAGGAUAUCUUUAACAUAUCUGUUGACAUGCGAGACACAAUGCUAGCGUCGAGAAUAUCAUCACCAUUCAAUAUUUAUUGACAUGCAAGACAUAAAUGCUGGCAUCAAGGAUAUCAUCAGCAUUUCAUAUCUGUUGACACGCAAGAUAUAAAUACUGGCGUCAAGGAUAUCAUCAGCAUUUCAUAUUUGUUGACACGCGAGGCACAAUGCUGGCGUCGAGGAUAUCAUCAACAUAUUUAUUGAUACGCAAGACACAGCACUGGUAUUAAGGAUAUAAUCAGCAUUCAAUAUAUCUGUUGACAUGCGAAACAUAACACUGGAGUCGAGGAUAUCAUCAGUAUUUAAUAUAUCUAUUAACAUGCAAGACACAACACUGGUGUUGAGGAUAUCAUCAUCAUUUUAUAUCUGUGAUAUGCAAUACAUAAAUGCUGGUGUCGAGGAUAUCUUAUUAUUUUAUAAAUCAUCAUCUGAAUGCAUUGAAAGCUCACUAUUUGAAGGAAUACCUUUAAGUUACUAUCUAAGGAUGAAUGAUAUAUAAGAUUUCCUAGAAAUUGACAAUUUGAGGGUCAUCUAUAAGUCAUAUUAUUUAAAUUAGGAUAGUGUGCAAGAUCACCUAUGAGUUGAUAGCCUAUAGGUCAUCCAUAAGCCACAACAACAUCCUAACCGGAUAUUGUGCAAGAUCGCUCAAAAAUUGAUAGUUCAAAGGUUAUCCACAAGUCGUAACUAAAUUCUUAUCGGAGAAUAUGGAAGAUUAUCAAAUUGAUACGUCCAAGGGUUCUCUAUAAGCUGCGUCAUAUCCAAGAUCGAUUAUGUGUAGGAUUACCCAAAGGCUAACAAUUUGAGGAUUAUCUAUAAAUCGUAUUGUAUCCAAGGUCGGAUGAUGUGCAGAAACCCCUAAAAGCUAGCGAUUGGAGGGAUAUCUGUAAGUCAUCUAUUAUCCAAAGUCGGAUAAUGUGCAGGAUUACCUAAAAUCUUGAAAUUCAAAGGAUAUCUGGAAGUCGCCUCGUAUCAAACAUCAAAUAAUGCACAAGAUUAUCCAAAGAUUGAUAAUUUAAAGAAAAUUUAUAAAUCGAUCAUCGGCUAUAACCGGAGAGGUUAUCAUUCCACAUACAACAAGUGAUAUAGGUAACUAAAAGGGUUGCCACAUCAGCACAAGAUUACACAGUUGUAGAAACCGUUCUGCAUAAAGUAUCGCCGGUCUCUAAAAGAGCCACCCCACUUUGAAGACAUAUUAAACCGAUAAAUGUCAUAAUUAUACAACAACCAAGAGGGUUGUUGUGUUUCUUGUUGCCAGUUCUUUCAUUCUAAAUAGGUACAUGAAGAGAUGAAUCCGCUUUUCAGGCCACAACUCACGUGGAGAUAUGGUAAAAGACUACAUACCUCUUUCGUAAAUUAUGUUUAGUACUAACACUUUUUGCUUGAAGAAUUGUUGAGAGCAUUCGAGAGGAUGAAAAUCUCAAAUAAAAACCACAGGUGCGGACGACUUCAAGUAGGACGCAGCACAAUGUGAAACUCUUUUUUAGUAGCAAAAUAGGACAUAGUCUAAAGAGGUACGUCAAACUCUUUGGACGCGAGCUAAAGGAUGAUUACCACCACCAUCCAACCACACCCCUGUUAGAUGGCAUGUGGGUAUUUCAGGAUAUUGUGAUUUCAGCUUCACCUUCGAGAUAUUUUAAACUCAUACCGAGAGUAACCUUCUCUUUUUUUCAAAUUUGGGUGGCAACACACUUAGUGUUUUGGAAAUUAUGUCCAGGUAAGUUAUUGCCUAUGGAUGUGAAGGAUCACACAUUCAUGAUUAAGAGGUUACAAUAUUUUUUUGAAACUCGAUCAACUUGUCACUCAUCCUAAGCCAAAGAUCGUCUGAAAUAAAAGACUAUCUUUCCUACCAAUAGAGUCGAACUACAAGCAGUCUGAUUCUCUGAAAUCUUGGGGAUAUGUAGGUUGGGAUAUAUAUAGAAAACUCGACUGCAUUCCAACCUCUCCCCAAAUCCCUCUAUUCCCCAGCUUUCCGGUUUUAUCAAAAACUCCAAAAAUUGAGACAGCUUGUGAAUUAUUUAAAAAUCAUGCUUUAAAUCAAGUUUUAUGAACUACAAGUGGCCUGAAUUCUCAUGCAACCUGAAAUCUGUAGGAAACCUGAUGCCAAGGUUUGACCAUAACUCUAGAAACUCGUGUGGAAAACAAACUGCUCUUAGAUAUAAAUUUGUGGUCGGACAAAAAUUAGGAGCGUCAACCUCCCUUUGCCCAGAAUUACUUGCAUCCAUCCUACCCAAAUGGAGGGGGCAGUUGUUGAUACCUAAUUUUUGCCCUCCACAACUACGUUUAAUCUCGAGUUUCUUUGAUUUUCAAAUAAAAUCACAUCAAUUAUUUUUUCCAAAUAAAUGCAUUUUAAAAUAGGCAUUUGGGAUAAAUUUGACAAUGAAGUGAUAAUUAUAUAUUUUUUCAUAUUUGCAUAUAUGAGAUUGUAUAAAUGAUGUCAUUUAAAUAAACAUUUUCAUCAAAAUUGGAAUUUAAAUUAAGGAUUAUUUAGAAAAUAAAUUUAAAUAAUUAAAUCUUGAUUUAAAUAUAAUUUAUUAUCAUAAAUAAUCUAUUUGGAGAAAUACUUGUUUCAUUUUAUUAAGUUAAGAAGCUCGGGACUGAGUGAAAUAUUUAUUUGUAUCAAAUUUUGAUUAAUUUGGGCCAAUCUAUUAAAUUUGACAAUAAUCAAAAUCAAAUCGGCCUCGAUUGCAAUGCAAUUGGCUAAUUGAUUUUCAAUUAGGCUAAAAUUUAAAUGAAUUUAGUUGAUUCUUAAUUCAAUUGGGGUUAUUUGUUAAAUAACACCAAUUUCAGCCUAUUCUUUAUCUUUAAUCACCGGCCCAAAACAAAACAAUAUCAGACCUGGGCCCAUUUAUUCAUGCAAUUUCAAUGGCCCAACCUCAAUUAAAACUCUCAGCCACUAUUCCCUUCCCUAGCCCAGUCUAAUGAAAGCCGCGACCCGGGCCCAAUCCACCCUUAUCUUCUUAUCCACAACUAUCAACACCAUUCAAUUUAAUAACAACGUAUAAAUCAACCUUCAACAUCGAUGACAAAAUCAAUCCAAAGCACAACUCUCCUCCCAAAUCUAAGGACCCGAUAACACCCCCAACAACUCACUUACCCAAGCUCCAACCCAUCUGUUUCUUUAUCGUCACGUGCCUUUCCACGUGAAUUCGUAUAGAAAAGUUCGAAAACCUUCUAGAAAGAACUUAGCUAUCAUCAUACAAUGUCCAUAUUCCACAAAUCUCGGGACAUAUGGUAUAAUUUGGUACAUUUGUGGGGGAAUUCGAUUGGAUUAAGAGAGAUUCCAUUUCUCCGCAUUGAUUUCCCUGGGGGAAUAAUCCAAAUAGGUACAAGUCACUUGUUUUGGAAACCCUAGCCUCAAUUUGAAUUUUGAAUUUCUCUUCUUUUUUAAAUCCCUAAAUUUUCCCUAAUUAGUCUUCUAUAUAAGAACCCAUUUAGGUCACUGUUAGGGGGUCAAAAAAAUUCUGGGGGGUUAUUUGGAGGCUGAUAAUUCUGGGGUUUAGAAAAUUUUCUAAAAACCUAGGUUGAACAAAAAUUUUUCUUUUGGGUAAAAAAAGGAAAGUUUUGAAAAAAAGUAAUUUGGUUUUGGGGAAAGCGUAACUUUGUUCGGUAAAGAUUUUAGGGAGAAAUAGUUAGCUAGUCGAGUGUUCAUGAUGGUAUUGAGCUUUCUUGGUGGUGAUAAGAGUCCGAUCUUAGAUUGUUGCCCCAUUUUGCUGCUUCGAGAGAGGUAAACACCUCUUUUUCAUUUUAAUUUUGAUGUGGUUUUCUAUUCUUCAUCUCUUUCUUUAGGAUUUCAUUAUAGUAAUGUUGUUGUGUGCUGGGAUUAUGUAUUGUAGGAGCCAUGAAGGCCAUUGAAUUUUUAGUCUGGUAUUUGUUUAAAGAAAUUUUCCUAAUCAGUUUGUUUUACUGGUUUUUCCAUGAGUUUCUCCUUUUCUCUAUGUAAACUUGUUCAAUACAUUGUCAGUGUGAACCAUGGUUUUACGUGAAAGGUUACUUUUUUUAUACCUGUACAUUUUUUCUGACCUGAAUAUGGAAGCAAACCUCAAAUGACAACAUUCAUUAGUAUCUUGAAUGAAAUUCGUUGACUGCUUUUGUGUAAAUGAGAUAAUGACUUGAUGUCUCAAAUAAUGUUAUAUUGCUUUGCUGUGCACCGGACCAAUCGAAUAUAUAUUAACCUUAGUUUUAUCGCGGAUUGCACUGUCUUAUUAAAAACUCUCCUGAUCGCUAACUUUCUGUAUCUGACUAUUUCAGUUGAGGUUUCAUUCAUGGAAUUUGUUGGGUAGAAGUUACCUUUGCUGGAUUUCUAGUUAAUAUCCCUUGUUUACCUGUUUUACUCAAAAUCUGUGGAGCUUCUCUGGUUGAUAUUUUGAGUAAAGUAUUGUGAAAACUUCCUAAUAAACUCUUGGCUCGCGAUUCUCCGUGACUUGCCAGAGAGAGAGAGAUGUUGGUUUAAAGAAUUUUCAUAUGAUUAUUGGUUAUUUGUUCCCUUUUGAAAUUUAAUUCUGACAUGUUUGAUUCGGAAAUGAGACUUCCAGGUUCCAUCUAUCAUUAGUUCGUAGUAGUUAUUGUCUACUGGACUACCUCUGUAUAGGGAUUUUAUAUAUACUCAUGUGAAUAGAAAGCAUUCCAGUCUCACGGGCCCUCUUCCUAGUUUCCCUUUAUACUCACAAGCCCUCUUCCCAGUUUCCCUUUAUGUUUUCUUCCCCUUAAAUAGGACCAUGAGUAUAAGUUCGAUAGAACCUUUAAGUUUUUUAUUUUGUGAAAAAAGCUCGGGAUAUUUGUCCCAUUAUGAUAUAACUUUGUCUAUUCGCUUAUCGCUGAGACUUGGGUACCUCAAAUGGUCAUAGUAGAAGCAUGUUGCGGGAUAGCACUUGGCAUUUAUACUUCUAUGGUUGAUGUUGAAUAAGAUAAUAUUUAGUUAGUAGCUUUUGAAUGUUUAAAUCUAUUUACUUCUUUUUUUACCCGUAUUCUGAACAUGCUUUGAUUUCUUUUGCAUUUUGAUGUCAAACUUUUGCUUUUCACUUCAUAGGCAUGCAUCCGGAUCGAUAUUAUUCUCUCUUUCACUUGACAAUAUUUUUGCUGAGUUAACAUGUCCCUU
rnacentral:lncRNA from 1 species